GUCCAGUACAGGGUGCAAGGCAGGCAAACGCAGUAGAUGGGAUGCCAAUCCAGUACAGGGUCCAGUACAGGGUGCAAGGCAGGCAAACGCGGUAGGUGGGAUGCCAAUCCAGCACAGGGUCCAGUACAGGGUGCAAGGCAGGCAAACGCGGUAGGUGGGAUGCCAAUCCAGCACAGGGUCCAGUACAGGGUGCAAGGCAGGCAAACGCGGUAGGUGGGAUGUCAAAUCAGCACAGGGUCCAGUACAGGGUGCAAGGCAGGCAAACGCGGUAGGUGGGAUGCCAAUCCAGCACAGGGAUCAGUACAGGGUGCAAAGCAGGCAAACGCAGUAGGUGGGAUGCCAAUCCAGCACAGGGAUCAGUACAGGGUGCAAGGCAGGCAAACGCAGUAGGUGGGAUGCCAAACCAGCACAGGGUUCAGUACAGGGCGCAAGGCAGGCAAACGCAGUAGGUGGGAUGCCAAUCCAGCACAGGGAUCAGUACAGGGCGCAAGGCAGGCAAACGCAGUAGGUGGGAUGCCAAACCAGCACAGGGUUCAGUACAGGGCGCAAGGCAGGCAAACGCAGUAGGUGGGAUGCCAAUCCAGCACAGGGAUCAGUACAGGGCGCAAGGCAGGCAAACGCAGUAGGUGGGAUGCCAAUCCAGCACAGGGAUCAGUACAGGGCGCAAGGCAGGCAAACGCAGUAGGUGGGAUGCCAAUCCAGCACAGGGAUCAGUACAGGGUGCAAGGCAGGCAAACGCAGUAGGUGGGAUGCCAAACCAGCACAGGGUUCAGUACAGGGCGCAAGGCAGGCAAACGCAGUAGGUGGGAUGCCAAUCCAGCACAGGGAUCAGUACAGGGUGCAAGGCAGGCAAACGCAGUAGGUGGGAUGCCAAACCAGCACAGGGUUCAGUACAGGGCGCAAGGCAGGCAAACGCAGUAGGUGGGAUGCCAAUCCAGCACAGGGAUCAGUACAGGGCGCAAGGCAGGCAAACGCAGUAGGUGGGAUGCCAAUCCAGCACAGGGAUCAGUACAGGGCGCAAGGCAGGCAAACGCAGUAGGUGGGAUGCCAAUCCAGCACAGGGAUCAGUACAGGGUGCAAGGCAGGCAAACGCAGUAGGUGGGAUGCCAAACCAGCACAGGGCCCAUAUAUUCACACAUUCUCACACAUGAUAACACACUCACACAUACUCAUUGAGUUUAUACCUCCACUAUUGCCUCAGGGUAUGAAGGACUGGUGCUGUCACCCCACCAUACUGGAAAUAAUUUGACAUAAAAGUGCACAGUCAUUAGGUCCAUUUGUGAUGGUGAUGGCAGAGAUUUCUGUCCACUCAUCUCCAUCCCCUGCCAACAAAACGAGUUGUUUUUCUGUGACACUGACAAAUAGCCGGGGAUGAUCUUACACCUGACAGCUACUAUGCUCCUACGGGUGAGCGACAGACAGGAGGAAACUGGAAAUU